GGGGCACUUAAUGCGUUAGCUACGGCGCGGAAAACGUGGAAUGUCCCCCACACCUAGUGCCCAACGUUUACGGCAUGGACUACCAGGGUAUCUAAUCCUGUUCGCUCCCCAUGCUUUCGCUCCUCAGCGUCAGUAACAGCCCAGAGACCUGCCUUCGCCAUCGGUGUUCCUCCUGAUAUCUGCGCAUUUCACCGCUACACCAGGAAUUCCAGUCUCCCCUACUGCACUCUAGUCUGCCCGUACCCACUGCACACCACGGGGUUAAGCCCCGGGCUUUCACAGCAGACGCGACAAACCGCCUACGAGCUCUUUACGCCCAAUAAUUCCGGACAACGCUUGCGCCCUACGUAUUACCGCGGCUGCUGGCACGUAGUUAGCCGGCGCUUCUUCUGCACGUACCGUCACUUUCGCUUCUUCCGUGCUGAAAGAGGUUUACAACCCGAAGGCCGUCAUCCCUCACGCGGCGUCGCUGCAUCAGGCUUUCGCCCAUUGUGCAAUAUUCCCCACUGCUGCCUCCCGUAGGAGUCUGGGCCGUGUCUCAGUCCCAGUGUGGCCGGUCACCCUCUCAGGCCGGCUACCCGUCGUCGCCUUGGUAGGCCAUUACCCCACCAACAAGCUGAUAGGCCGUGAGCCCAUCCAAAACCAGUAAAACCCUUUCCACACACCCCCAUGCGAGAGAGUGUAGUAUCCAGUAUUAGACCCAGUUUCCCAGGCUUAUCCCAGAGUCAAGGGCAGGUUACUCACGUAUUACUCACCCGUUCGCCACUCAUCCACCCAGAUGCAAGCACCCAAGCUUCAGCGUUCGACUUGCAUGUGUUAAGCA
rnacentral:rRNA from 1 species